AAGUCGUAACAAGGUUUCCGUAGGUGAACCUGCGGAAGGAUCAUUACCAAAUCCAUCCAAUUACCGACCCACGUGUGAACCGACAAACAGUCUUUGGGAGCUGUGCUCUUUUGUGCGGCUCCCGCAUUUAUUUUGAACCACGUUGUCUUUUGGCAGAGUAAAAACGGACCUUGCUUUUUUGUCUUUUUCGUCUUUUUGACGGAAAAAAUGAAGAAAAAAGGAACAAAAAACAACUCAAUCAAAAACAACUUUUAACGGUGGAUCUCUUGGCUCGU
rnacentral:misc_RNA from 1 species